rnacentral:lncRNA from 1 species
GCGCUCCCAGGCAGAGUACGAGCUCAGAGUUGGAGCUCAGAGUUGGAGCUCAGAGUUGGAGUGUAAUUCAGGAGAUGUGAUCAGUCAGGGCUGAGUGGAGCAGAGCGGCAGCCUUAGAGAAGAGCUGUACACAUACACAGCAGCAGCCCAGAGAGGCACACAGAGCCUUCUCCUUAAAUGGUCAAAGCUCCCAUGAGUGAAAGAGAGGCUGGUGCUGGAAAACAAGACAGGGAAAGGAAAGGAAAAGAGACAGCUAGGUUUUCUGUGAAAAAAUCUGGGAAUUACAGUUUGACUGAGGGAAGGUUCUGUCGGGUGUUUUAUGUGGAGUUUAUGUGGAGCUAAGCAGUGAAGGUGGUAUCUCUCACAGGAGGUUACAGAGCUGUGACGAUUCAGAGGCACCCUGCACUGAUAACAACAAAACAAGCCAAGUCCAAUGUCCUGACUUUGUGCAAGACCAAAAGCACAACAGUACCAGCAGUGAUGUUCCUGCACCUGCAUUUUUAGGUUCCAUCCCAGUGUCAGAGACACAAACGCCCCCAGUGUCCCCAUCACAAGUCUUCCUCCAGUACGAGUGUGCCCCUUCACUUACCGUCCCAACGGAUACACCCCCCCAGUCUGCCUGUGUCAGUCACGCUGCCGCUCACACUGAGGAGAAUGUAGCAGGUCUCAGAUCGGAGGAUCCUAGUUGCCGUGACUACUGUCAGUCAGAGGCCCGCGACUGUGGGAGUGGCCAAGCAUUGCCGCCUGGAGACUUUGGGAGGAGUCAGCCAUCAAACCCAGAAGACAGUGCUGGUAGUAAAGCCUCUGAACCAGAAGAUAGUGGGAGGAGCAAUGUAUUACAACCAACAGAUAUUGGGUGUGAUCUAGAGCAUUGUGGGAGUUUCCAUUCUCGAGAUCUACCGACUGUUUUAAUAACAGGCUCAGAUAAGGUAAGUUAGGACUGAAUACUUUUAAUGAUUACUUUAAUGAGGAUAGCCUCUAUUAUUAUUAAAUACUCAAGUGAUUCCCAAAUCAUUGUAGUUCAAAAAUAAACACUCACACACACUAUUCUAAAUGGGCACAGACAGAAACAUAAGCAAGUUAUUUUACCCAUUUAAGGUGUACACAUCCUUCCAAAGCCAUGGUUUCCUUCACAAAAACCCCCUCCCAUACCCAGAAACGGAGUGAGUGGUGCUUGAGUGCUGGCUGUGGUGGGCACGGGUUGGCUGAUGGAUAGAGAGGCAGGGCAGGAUGAGGGAUGAGGGAUGACGGCCUAGGCUGGGCGGGGUUGGAAUGGAGACAGGGAGUCCUGGAGUGAGCGCUGGCAAAGACCAUUAGUCUCAGAGAGGGAGACUCCAGUAAGAAUGUGACCUCCGUCAACCCUGACAGAGCUCUGACUGAUGGCAUGUCUGAUUUGGAUGAUUCUGGCUCUGCUGAAUGACAUUUUCCAAGUCUAUUAUUUCCGUAGGCAUGUUGAAAUGGAUAGGAUAAAUAUAACUGUGUUUGUUUCCCCUUUAGAAUCAGAUUGUGAUUGUGUGGUUCGAUAUGCUCGUUUUAGUGUAAAUAUGGUAGUUCAAGCUAACCUUGCUCUGUGACGAUUUAAUUGCGACACUGCUAACUUUUCAUCCUCCAUUGUGCUACCUCGCUGCCCUCCCUGUUUGCCUGUCAUAGAUGUUCAGAUUUGUUGCAAGACAACGUUAUCUUGUUUUUCUUUGUUCAUUCUCAGAAUUAAAUAAGUCUAACUUUAAUAGCUGGAAGAAUGCGUUCCUCUGGGAUUCCCGUUCUCCCAGAUUAAUUUGGCUCAUCCGCCCCCGCCUCUGGGGAGACAAAGGUCACAUUUGUUUAUGCACAGUUCUGGAAGCUGCAGGACCUGCUAGGCAGGUCUAACACUAGAGAGAAGCAGCUGACAUGUCUGUGUGGUGGUUUGUCUGAUACUUAUUACAGUAAUAUGCCGCUAGAGAGUUGUGCUGGAUCUGGAAUAUUGCAAUGAUAAUUCAUUGCAUCAUAACCAAGUUAUUUGAGAGAAGGGCAAAUCCAUUGUAACAAAGUGACGCUGAGACUCUCUCUUUCACUUUAAAAUGUUUAAAGGCCCAAUUCAGCCAUUUCUAGCUCAAUAUCCAAUCAUUUCUGGAUAGCAAUUAAGUACCUUAUUAACCACGUUUUCAUGCAACCAUUUUAUGCGGAGGAAUUAACUCAUGAAAAAAGUCACAACCGGGCUGAUGGAAACAUAAAAUGUUGGUACAAUUGUAUAAAUGCCGACAAACAAUUUGUUUGUUCGACAUGGUAGGAUCUUUUUGUGUCGUUUAAAUUAAUUAUCUGAGAAAUAGCGUUGGAAACGCCUUCAUGGGGAAAUAUUGAUAUACUAACUAUCAUAUCGUGAUGAUAUGUUGUGUGGUCCUCCCACCACGACUCGGGAAAGCAGUUUAUUAAGCUACAGAUUAAAUACAUGAUGAUGAACUUCGCAGGGUGAUUAAUGUGCAAUGUGAUGCAAGGUGAUGAUCGAUGCUUGGCUGCCGUUUGACAAAGACAAAUAAUAUGUCUCUUAUCCAUAAUAAUCUCAUAAUAUAAGUAGACUACCCCCACUGUAUCUGUGACAUGUUGGUUAAACCGCAUGUGCCAAGACCAGAGUGGGCACAUUUGCUAUAUAACGCAACAAAUCCAUCAGUAGAGUUGAAAAUGCGAUGGAAACCCAUUUAACUUGUGUUUUUCAUUCAGUACAUGGGAAUUUAAUGGCAAAAGUCAUUUUUAUGUGCAUUAUCUCAUCGCGCACAGCCUUUUGUCUGCAAAAAGUCAGUUUGAUGGAAACACAUCUCUGGUGGAAAAUGGGCAUAUCGUUUGGAUGGAAACCUAGCUACUGUGAUUGUUUUCAAUCAAAAUGGUAAAUUUCUUUUUUUUAAAUAGCUUCUUAGCAAGAGCAGUGUCUCAAGCAAGAGAUCUGCUAGGACUGUCUGGAAGUGGUCUGAGUGGGGAUGGGAAAACUGAAAACUAUCUGUUCUUGGCAGAGAGGUUUGGAACUCUCUUUCUUAUUGGUCUAUUAUUAACAAAUUUACAGCCUAGUGAUGUCACCAGGUAGACCAAAACUCCAUCCCACCAAAACAGGCUGAAAGUACAGACAGUCUUUUCAAACAGCUCUUACACUGAAAGAGCAUUAUUAUAAUUUUCACAAUUUCACAGUAUUAGUCCAACCUCAUAGUGUGGAAAUGUAUAUCAAAACACAGAAAAUCUAGUUUUUGACUGCACUGAGCCUUUACCAAACCGUACCCCUAUACAGAAGUCUACUUUUAACAAUUGCCACUGAAAAUGUUACUAAAACACAUUUAUUAGAGGAACAGUGCAGAUGCAAAGUUUGUUAACAGAAUGACAGUAAAAUCUACCUCAGUUUUUUAUUUGACCACCUUUUCCAAAAACUCUAAAAUAUUUCAAAGAUGUCUGCAGAAAGAAUGGGGUGUUAGCUAUGAUAUGGCAUCUUGAGUUUGAAAAAAUCUACACUGAACAAAAAUAGAAAUGCAACAUGCGACAAUUUAAAAGAUUUUACUGAAUUACAAUUCAUAAAAGGAAAUCAGUCAAUUUAAGUAAAUUCAUUAGGCUCUAAUCCAAUGUUUCCCAACCCUGCUCCUCAAGUACCCCCAACAAUACACAUGUUUAUUGUAACCCUGGACAAGCACAUCUGAUUCAACUUGUCAACUAAUCAUCAAUCCCUCAAUGAGUUGAACAAGGUGUGUGUCUGGGGCUACAACGAAACUGUGUGCGGUUGUGGGUACUGGAGGACCAGGGCUGGGAAACACUGCUCUAAUCUAUGGAUUUCACAUGUCUGGGAAUACAGAUAUGCAUCUGUCGUCACAGAUACCUUAAAAAAAAGGUAGGGGUGUAGAUCAGAAAACCAGUCAGUGUCUGGUGUGACCACCAUUUGCCUCAUGCAGCGCGACACAUCUCCUUUGCAUAGAGUUAGACAGGCUGUUGAUUGUGGAAUGUUGUCCCACUCCUCUUCAAUGGCUGUGUGAAGUUUCUCUAUAUUGGCGGGAACGCUGUUGUACACGUCGAUCCAUCAAUAGGUGACAUGUCUGGUGAGUAUGUAGGCCAUGGAAGAACUGGGACAUUGUCAGCUUCCAGGAAUUGUGUACAGAUCCUUGCGAUAUGAGGCCAUGAAUUAUCAUGCUGAA